UGGCACUCCAGAUGUUUUGGACUACACCUCCCCUGAUGCUUUGCCAGCAUUAUAGGUGCAUUAUGGGGGAUGUAGUCCACAACAUCUGGAGUGCCA